UGGGGAACUUAUCUUCCAGGGAUUGGAAUC
rnacentral:piRNA from 1 species